rnacentral:rRNA from 1 species
AGGGUGUAAACGCUGCGGGCUUGGUGUUGGGGGUCCUUAGUGGGCGCCCAGUGCCGGAGAGAAGUUGUUAAGCCUGCUGCUUGGGGAGUAUGUCCGCAAGGAUGAAACUUAAAGGAAUUGGCGGGGGAGCACAACAACGGGUGGAGCUUGCGGUUUAAUUGGAUUCAACGCCGGAAAUCUUACCGGGACCGACAGCAACAUGAAGGCCAAGCUGAAGACUUUGCCGGAUUAGCUGAGAGGUGGUGCAUGGCGUCAGUGACU